rnacentral:tRNA from 1 species
AUAGGAGAAAAUUUCUAACGCGGUUUCGGCCCGCCUUAUGAGAGAUUUACAAUUCUCUCCCUGUCUU